GAUGAACGCUAGCGACAGGCUUAGCACAUGCAAGUCGAGGGGCAGCAUAGAAGUAGCAAUACUUUGGUGGCGACCGGCGCACGGGUGAGUAACGCGUAUGCAACCUACCUAUCAGAGGGGGAUAACCCGGCGAAAGUCGGACUAAUACCGCAUAAAACAGGGGCACCGCAUGGUGAUAUUUGUUAAAGAUUAAUUGCUGAUAGAUGGGCAUGCGUUACAUUAGGUAGUUGGUGAGGUAAUGGCUCACCAAGCCGACGAUGGAUAGGGGAACUGAGAGGUUGAUCCCCCACACUGGUACUGAGACACGGACCAGACUCCUACGGGAGGCAGCAGUGAGGAAUAUUGGUCAAUGGGCGAGAGCCUGAACCAGCCAAGUCGCGUGAAGGAAGAAGGGUCUAUGGUUCGUAAACUUCUUUUGCAGGGGAAUAAAGUGGAGGACGUGUCCUCUUUUGUAGGUACCCUGAGAAUAAGGAUCGGCUAACUCCGUGCCAGCCGCCGCAGUAA
rnacentral:rRNA from 1 species